GUUUAUUUCCCUUCCAAAUUUAAUUUCGAAGGAACAAUUCUCCUGGGGACUUUCCCUCUGUUUCCAAGGAAACGAUGAUGAAGAUGGCAAUUGAUACGGAAGAUUGGGAGGAGGAGAUGAAUACCGCACAAAUUGUUAAGCCGUAUAUGGAUAGGAUUGUUUUGGAUUAUCUUGUGACUGAAGGAAAGUUGGAAGCGGCCCAUAUAUUCAUGGAAGAAUCUCUAAUCAGGCUCAAAUACAGCUUGUGGAUGAGCGAAUUACCCAACGAGUUGCUAUUGUGGAAGCCAUCAAAGCUGGAGAUCUCAAUUUUGCUAAAGAGGAGCUGAGUGCUUUCAAGCCUGAGAUACUGAGAAACUUCCAUCUCCUUAAGCAACAGUUCAUACAACUUAUCCGUGAGGAAAGACACAAUGAUGCAUUUGAUUUUGCUCAGCUUCAUCUGAAACCAUUUCACGAGGAUAUGGCAUUUUUAAAACAAGUGGAGGAAGUUAUGUCUCUUCUCGUCUUUGAGAACAUUUCAACAUGUCCCGUGAAAGAUUUUCUUGGCGAAUCCCAAUGGCUUAAGACAGCUAGUGAAGUAAAUGCAGCAAUUCUUAGCAGCUUCGGGAAAGGUCCCAAACUUCAACGCUUGCUGAAAAAGCUGACACUGAAUCAGAAACAGUUGGAUGAGAGAGCAUAUGAGUACCCACGUAUGAGUGAUAUGUCCACUGGUGAGCUCAUAUACCCAGAAGAAUGAAGAAACCAAUCUGCCAGAGAAAACCACACCAAUUUACACAUUGCUACUGCUAUUUUUGGUUUGUUUGUAUUAACCGGGUUACUUUGUUUUUUCUUCUCUGGUUAUUUUCGGUAUAGCUUUUAUCACAUACAACAUCAUUUGUACAAAGAUCAUUUUGAA